CCAUUGUUUCUUCCUUCCUCAAAAACCAUGUAAAUAGAAACAGGAGGUACAUUGAACUUGCUUCGUACCUAAGAUAGCAACCCGUGUGUAAAACCAUUCACAGUUUACCCCAUAUUUGCGGUCUAUACACGAGUUCAUAAUUUCAUUCAUAUAAUGUCUGCACCAAAGGCAGUACUUCUCCUAAUUGUCUCACUCAUGGUUUCGACGAUUGGGAGUACCAACAGUAGAACUUCCCGAAACGCCACAAGUGGCAAAUGCCCCGCAGUAGGAAAACAUUGUGACCCUCAAGUACCCCAUUCCUGUCCAAACAACUGCGAGUGCUUUUUCGACUACUCCAUAGA